GAAGCGUUUGAUGUGGCCUAUGACAAUAUUAAUGCAUUUCAUGCUGCUCAAAGGAUUCCUGAGAAGGAGAUUGAGAAUAUGAAAGGGGUGAGGUGCAAAAGAAUAGCACGGUGCAUUGCAUCUGUUGGCCUUUAUGUUCCAGGGGGUACUGCAGUCUUACCCUCAACUGCUUUGAUGCUCUCGGUGCCUGCACAGAUUGUCAG